GACGAACGCUGGCGGCGUGCUCAACACAUGCAAGUCGAACGGAAAGGCACUGCUUUUGUGGGGUGCUCGAGUGGCGAACGGGUGAGUAACACGUGAGUAACCUGCCUUUGACUUUGGGAUAACUUCAGGAAACUGGGGCUAAUACCGGAUAGGAGCUCCUGCUGCAUGGUGGGGGUUGGAAAGAUUCGGCGGCUGGGGAUGGACACGCGGCUUAUCAGCUUGUUGGUGGGGUAGUGUCUUACCAAGGCUUUGACGGGUAGCCGGCCUGAGAGGGUGACCGGCCACAUUGGGACGAUUAUGCGGCCCAGACUGCUACGGGAGGCAGCAGUGGGGAAUAUUGCAAGAUGGGCGGAAGCCUGAUGCAGCAGCACCGCGUGCGGGAUGACGGCCUGCGGGUUGUAGACCGCUUUCGCCUGUGACGAAGCGUGAGUGACGGUAAUAGGUAAAGGAGCACCGGCUAACUACGUG
rnacentral:rRNA from 1 species